rnacentral:rRNA from 1 species
AACGAACGCUGGCGGCAUGCCUAACACAUGCAAGUCGAACGAACCGUUCGGGGUUAGUGGCGCAGGGGUGCGUAACGCGUGGGAAUCUGCCCUUUGCUUCGGAAUAACUCAGGGAAAGUUGUGCUAAUAACGGUUGAUGUCUUCGGAGCAAAGACUUUUCGGGAUGGGAUGGGGCCGCAUAGGAUUCGGUGGUUGGUGGGGUAAAGGCCUACCAAGCCGACGAUGCUUAGCUGGUAUGAUAGGAGGACCUGGCCGGCUGGGACUGCGGCACGGACCAGACUCCGACGGGGCGGGGGAGUGGGGUGCAUUGUGCAAGGGGCGCAGGCCUAACCCAGCAGUGCCGCGGGUGAGAGGAAGGCCGUCGGGUCGUAAAGCUCUUUUACCAGAGAUGAUAAUGACAGUACCUGGUAAAUAAGCACCGGCUAACUCCGUG